UACGGGGGGAGCAAGCGUUGUUCGGAUUUACUGGGCGUAAAGGGCGCGUAGGCGGCCACCGCAAGUCAAUUGUGAAAUCUCCGGGCUUAACUCGGAAAGGUCAACUGAUACUGCGGGGCUAGAGUGCGGAAGGGGCAACUGGAAUUCUCGGUGUAGCGGUGAAAUGCGUAGAUAUCUGGAGGAACACCGGUGGCGAAGGCGGAUCUCUGGGCCUUACCUGACGCUGAGGCGCGAAAGCGUGGGGAGCAAACAGG
rnacentral:rRNA from 1 species